rnacentral:rRNA from 1 species
UACGUAGGGGGCAAGCGUUAUCCGGAAUUAUUGGGCGUAAAGAGUACGUAGGCGGUUUCUUAAGCGUGGGGUGAAAGGCUAUAGCUUAACUAUAGUAAGCCUUGCGAACUGGGAGACUUGAGUGCAGGAGAGGAAAGCGGAAUUCCUAGUGUAGCGGUGAAAUGCGUAGAUAUUAGGAGGAACACCAGUGGCGAAGGCGGCUUUCUGGACUGUAACUGACGCUGAGGUACGAAAGCGUGGGGAGCGAACA